UGCCCGAUGGUGUAAUGGUAGCACAACUGAUUCUGGUUCAGUUUGUCUAGGUUCGAGUCCUGGUCGGGCAGCCA
rnacentral:tRNA from 1 species